CGACCGCGACCUCAGGUCAG
rnacentral:rRNA from 1 species